GUUUACUGCCAUAUGGAUGCAAGGAACCGCCACUUCCAGAAAAGUGACUGUUUAUCACCAAACAUAUGGUGCUUCUCGCUUAAGCCCCCAUUUAGUGGGUUUCUAUUUGUUUGUUUGUUUAUUUAUUACGGGCAUUUAUAAAACACCAACAUACUCUGCAGAGCUGUUCAAUUAGGGGAGAAUGUACAAUAUACAAAUUUUAAAGGUAAAGAGGGCCCUGCCUGUAAGCUGAG